GCUGUCUGGUGGUGUAGAACGGGUCACUACAAAUAACCAAUUGGAGGUGGCUUCUUUAUAUUCAGGUCGGGAAAUGGAAAUUGGCGCAGGGAGUUAGACUGUGGUUAUGAGGUGCGAUAAGAGGCGCUGGCCAAGGCCGCCAGCCUGGAUGUCCUCCAGGGCGGGUUUCCUGCCUUCCAGUUUGCUGAGCGCAACUCCCACCCCACAGCGAGGCUGGAUCGACUACCCUGGGGUGAAUGCUGCUUCAACGCUUGUGAAUUGCUAGACUUCCAAGCUACACCACGGCCAAAAACGAAAAGGACAGUAUGGGCAAGUGAAAGGUUUUUCUCCAGUGUGAACACGGAUGUGCCUUCUUAAGAGAAAUGGUCGAUGGAAAAUAUUUUCACAGAAUGGGCACUGAUGAACGUUGCCUGUUGCAGUGUAGAUCUUCUGAGCUUCCAUAGAUCCCACACUCUCAGCAUCACCAGGUACCCCCACCUGUAGAGGACGCCACUAUUCUUAUAGUACUCAAAAUAACAGAUGGUAACAUUUAAUUUACUAUUAUCAUAUGAAGUCAUCUAACAUAUAUGAAAUUAAACCAAACAAUGCUCAUAGUGAAGCUCUUACUGUGAGACUUUUUAUAAAAUUCCAUUUGAAAAGCUACACCUAUUUACUUGUAUAUUGAGGUCAUUACAGUUUGUCAUGUGUAGUCAUUUUGAAACUU